rnacentral:rRNA from 1 species
UACGGAGGAUGCAAGCGUUAUCCGGAAUUAUUGGGCGUAAAGCGUCCGCAGGUGGCUGUGUAAGUCUGCUGUCAAAGAGCGAAGCUCAACUUCGUAAAGGCAGUGGAAACUACACGGCUAGAGUGCGUUCGGGGCAGAGGGAAUUCCUGGUGUAGCGGUGAAAUGCGUAGAGAUCGGGAAGAACAUCGGUGGCGAAAGCGCUCUGCUGGACUGCAACUGACACUCAGGGACGAAAGCGUGGGGAGCAAACAGG